CCUUGUUCGGAUCGAUUGCACCGCGGGCAGCCCGGUGAACAGGGCUGAUGCUCAGGUCUGCAGCCUUCACCUCCCAAACCUGGCACAGGAACCAAAGGAGCUCAUGACGACAAGGGCUAAAGAAAGAGGUAACCCAGCUGCUCACUCAUCACCGUCUCAUUUCAAUUAUUCUCACGAUUCCACGAUGGGAUCUUGAAGCUUUCUUCCACCCAUCGUCGUCUUCUUAAGUUUGCAGUUAGUCAACCCCCGCCUUCCUCCCCUCCCACCGACGUUCACAUUACCGGGUCAAUUCCUGCUCCGUCUCCGAGAGGGAAUGGAGGAAAAUGUGCUGCUGAUGUGGGAGAUGAACAUGGUUUAUCUACCAGGUUAAAUCUAUGUAUAACCAGCAUACUUGGACCAUCUCAUCACCUAUCUCUUCCAAUCGUUCAACAUAUCCCAUUAAAUCCUUGAUGAGAGGGCGUCAUGGUCCCUACCAGCAAGGACCUUAAUGAAACCAUCUGGGCUUGUUCUCUUUUUUUUUUUCUUUUAACUAAAAAAAUAAGAGAGAGAGAGAGAGAGAGAGAGAGAGAGAGAGAGAGAGAGAGAGAGAGAGAGAGAGAGAGAGAGAGAGAGAGAGAACCUCUUCAAAUGGUAAAAAGAAAACCUAAUGCUUUCAUAGACGAGGGGCAUAAAUAUCAAAAUUUCAAGUAAAAGUGUUACCACCAUGAUAAGAGAAAGGGGGUGCGCAAGUAACAUGCUUAC
rnacentral:lncRNA from 1 species